CUUGCCUCCCAAAGGCAUUGAAGGUAUGUUAGUAGGAGGUAGAGAAGAGAAAAACUAUGCAGAUGCUCAGCUCACUGAUGUCCUGACCUGCAAAUGUCUGAAUUAUUAGUAGCCUAACAUU
rnacentral:snoRNA from 1 species